GUGGGGGAUAACGUAGGGAAACUUACGCUAAUACCGCAUACGACCUACGGGUGAAAGCGGGGGAUCGCAAGACCUCGCGCGAUUAGAUGAGCCGAUGUCCGAUUAGCUNGUUGGCGGGGUAAUGGCCCACCAAGGCGACGAUCGGUAGCUGGUCUGAGAGGAUGAUCAGCCACACUGGAACUGAGACACGGUCCAGACUCCUACGGGAGGCAGCAGUGGGGAAUAUUGGACAAUGGGCGCAAGCCUGAUCCAGCCAUGCCGCGUGGGUGAAGAAGGCCUUCGGGUUGUAAAGCCCUUUUGUCCGGAAAGAAAAGCACUGGAUUAAUACUUCGGUGUUCUGACGGUACCGGA
rnacentral:rRNA from 1 species